rnacentral:rRNA from 1 species
ACAAAAACGACUCUCGGCAACGGAUAUCUCGGCUCACGCAUCGAUGAAGAACGUAGCAAAAUGCGAUACUUGGUGUGAAUUGCAGAAUCCCGUGAACCAUCGAGUUUUUGAACGCAAGUUGCGCCCAAAGCCAUCCGGUUGAGGGCACGCCUGCCUGGGCGU